AGUAGAGGUGGCUGAGAUAGAAGCGCUAGAUUGUAGGUCUAGGAACGUGGGAGAUACCACUCUCUACUA
rnacentral:tRNA from 1 species